rnacentral:lncRNA from 1 species
AGAACUUGGCAUUCUCAUAGGCUUCUAGGCGGAUUUCAUCUAACUCACUCAGUUGCAACUUUCUUUCCUCACCAGCUUGAUCCAUAGAGAAGUUGCAAGUCUUCACUGCCCAGUAUGCUUUGUGCUCAAUUUCCAUUGGAAGAUGACAUGCCUUUCCAAAGACAACCCGAUAAGGAGACAUUCUUGUGGAUGCUUUGUAGGCAGUCCGAUGUGCC